rnacentral:tRNA from 1 species
AGUAAAGUCAGCUAAAAAAGCUAUUGGGCCCAUACCCCAAUCAUGCAGGUUAAAAUCCUACCUUUACUA